GCCUGAAUGGUCUAGUGGUAUGAUUCCUGCUUUGGGGCUUCUGAAAUGCAGGAGGUCUCCGGUUCAAUCCCGGAUUUAGGCC
rnacentral:tRNA from 1 species